AGACUUGGAAUCAUUCAGUCAAACUGCUGUUGGCUAGUGUUGAUUAGACCUGACGAUCAUAUUUUCCAGGGUGUAAUUUGGUGCAAAACAAUUCAAAGCUGAUGUCAAUCUACUUUUUGUACCUAUACAUUAUAGAUGAAAUCUUAACUAGCAGUUUGUCAAUUUGGCUUUGGUGGUUUUGCUUUUCCAAGUCAUAAUUUAUCUAUGGUUUAUUUAUAUUGCAAUGAAGGACCAACACUUUGCCCCACGUUUAUAUUGCAAUGAAGGACCAACACUCCGCCAAUGUACCAUUGUAACCCCUUACCUGAGCAAACUUCUGUACUAGUAGUCUUGUAAAGAAGGAUGCUCAAGGAAUAAUGUACACUAGAAAUUGAUUUUUUCAAUAACAUUGUUAGAGGUCUAUGCCAAACCUUAGCUUGCAUAUACUGCAAAAGAAAGUUGCGAACAUUGUAGUGUCGCUCGUUCACUCCUAGUUUUAUGAAAGUUGGUUUCUUUUCAAUUGUUAUCUUUGAUAUUUGAAAUGGAGCAUCUGUUUUGCAAUACUUUCAAAAUUCAAUAGUGUGAUCAUGCAUGUGACGUGAUAACUACUUUACUGCCAUUGUAAUACAACAAUAGUAAUACAGAGUUGUGAGAGUAUAUUCUCUAAGCAAUUUUGAGAAAAGGAGGAAAUUUGAUAAUAGAGUUAUGAGAGUAUAUCAAUUCCAGCUGCAAAAUGUAUCUUGUAAGUCCCCUGACAAGAACACAAUCUAUAUAUAGAGUAUAUUCUCAUCAUUGGAAGACCAUAUAUAGUACAAUCUUAAGAGCAGAGUUAUUUGUAACCUUUGAGCGAUAUGAGACUAUUGACAUGGGUACCAUCGAGAAACUUAAAUUUUGAUGGUGUUUUUGUCGCAGCUGUAUCUAUAGCCUUCCACUGGUUUGUCUUCACAUAAAAUAUGAGGAUACGUCUUCCUUGAUCACCAUCAUCAAUGAGAAUUACUUCUCCAUUAUUGAGACUCCCCAACACCUUUAAGUAAUUAGGGUUUUUCUUGAUAUGUUGAGGUAUACAAAAUGUAAGAUGUUUUACCCAUUCAACAUCCUUCAAAAUCCAAACAUCAAACUGAACAAAAUCAGAACCCAUACUACCUACCAAGGUGGGGAAACCAUCCAUUUUAAUGAGCCAUCGAAAUCCAUAGUUUUGCUUUGCAGUAAAAAAUCGGAACAAACGGACUGUUGUUUCGUUGCCAACAUCAAAGGAAAAGAGGUAUUUCCAUCCAAUGUCUAUGUACAAUAUCCCAUUAACAGAUAUUCGUUGAUAGUAUGCAAUGCCGCUGAGUUCCUUGAUUGGUCGCCAUGAUUCAGUGGGAGAAGCACAUAAAGUUUGUAUGUAAAAGACUUGAGAAUCCAGUUUCCAAUCAUUGAUUAACUCUACAAGUUUGUAAGUGUUGGUAGAAGGAACAAACACUAAAUCCCACCACUCUUGAACCCGGUAGUAUCUAGAAGGUUUACACCUAGGAAGUGAUAUUGUUUCUUUUGUUGCAGGAUUUGUAACACGAAAUCCGUGAUCAUAUGAAUCCUUGAACAAAAUUAAACCAUUACUAAGACCCUUGACAACAAAUCGGCUAUGAAACGAAUAGAUUGUACGUACUUUAUUAGAUUCCAAAUCGUUCAAAUCCAUAAACAAUAACUUAACAAUUUUGUUUUCCUUAUCAUGAUCAUGAUCUACUAGUACUGUUUGAAGAAUACCAUCUUUGGAAGAAUAAAGGGAGUGUGUUUCGACAAAAACUGGAUUAGAAAUAAGAUUGAACCACUUACUACAUUGAUAUUUGAACUUUUCGUGAAGAAUAUCACCUGGGAUUUUCGUAAAAAUAUUGAAAACAAUAUCGUCAUUGAAAUCAGACAUGUUAAUCAUCACCAUCUCUCUUCCUCCUUCCAUGCAAUAAAAGUAACAAAGUUUUGUAGUAUAAUUAAAAAGAAUACUUUUCUAGUUUAUUACUUUAUUAUUAGGAUAAAAGGUGCAUACCUUUAUUACUAGUUUACUACUACAGUAUUAUUGUAGGUCGGUUUGACGGUUUGUUUGAUCUCGAAUUCUCGAUGAGUUUGAGUUUAAACCAAAUACUAAUUGUAUUUGGCAUGUUGAUUGUUGAGCGAUGAUGGUGUUAGGUCCACGAGUUAUCCAAGCCCAAACAAAGAGCCCAUUAGACUAGAUUCCAUUACUAAUUUUUAACUACUAAUUAAUUAGAUAAGAAAGGAUGUGGGGACACCUGACCUGAUAUGUUAUAAUAACCUUUUCCUCUCUUCUUCAUAGUCUCUCUGUUACUGUGUUUCCUUUCCCAACUCCACUUUUCGAUUAAUUUCUAAUAUGUAUAAAAGAUAUCAAAUCACUACAUAGAACUGAAGGCAGUGGCGGAUCUAAGGGGGGUCAUGGGUAUCACUUGACACCCUUGAAGUUUUGCAAUUUUUUUACUAUAUAUGUUCAAUUUUUUAAUUUUUUUAAAUAUAUUUAUUACCAAAGAUACUAUAUUGUAUCUUCUAAUAAAGUAAUAUCUGUUAAAUUAUUUUUCAUUCCCAUAAUUUAAGGAUUUUAUAAAGAUCUAGAAGAUCUUACAUAAAUAAAAUGUUAAAAUAUCUUUACAUUUAUGUACAUAAUAGAAAAUUACAAUUUUUUAUGUGUAUUUUUCGCCAACCUUCUAAAAAAAUUAAUUUUGAGUUAUAUCAAAAAAAUAAAAAAAAUAAAAAAAUUCAAUCAACAAUCUCUUUUUUCUUGUUCAUCCAAUCACAUCUAUUUGAAUUUUGGUCUUUAACAUGAUGUUUUAGGCGCAGAGGUGCAAGUUUUGUAUGGUGGCAUGCUCUCAUAUAAUUGGGUCGAGUUGGUUGGGGUCUCAUAAUCUGACGGUAUCAUCUCAUGGCAUGUUGUUCAAAAUUGUUUGUGUGGUUUCUUUAUCAAUAAAUUGUGAAUUAUAUAUAUAUAUAUAUAUAUAUAAAAUGACGUCUGAAAUGAAAUAGACAAAAUUUUUGAAGUAAUUACUUACUUUUUUUUCUUGUUUAUAUCAACUCUUGAUUAUAUUUAUUUAUUUUUAAUUAAAGUCUAUUUUACAUGAAAUGAUAGUUUUCUAGAGGUGUUUAAUUUCUAACAUUUUUUUUUUGUCUAGAUGUAUAACAUUCUUGACCCCCCUAGCAGAAGAUCCUAAAUCCGCCACUGAAGUUAGCCCAACCCUUGGAUGUUGAAUACCCACCAUCAUCCCAGUAGUGUUUUAUGGGCAUAGGAAACUUUCCCAUAGUAUUCUUAUAAAGAUUAUAAUAUACUUGAGUUUCAUCUUGAGUUUCGUUUUUUGUAUUAUCAUAUAGAGUAACAAUCAACAUAGGAGGUCGUGGAAUAGACCGACUAGAAAGAUUAUCAUAAAAGAUUUUGCGCCAAAAAUGACAAACUUUACCAAAAUUAACAAAAUCUUUUGUAUCAUCUAGUUUAUCAAGAAUAAGAGUUUGGAUUUCUAAAGGAACCCUACUCAACAACUCAUUAUGAAGACUAAUCCGCCACUGACUGAAGGAGUGUGGUUGGAAUUUGUGAGAGCGUGCGGUUUGGGAGCGGGAGCAACAUUGCCGAGUUUCUAUCUACUUAGUUAUAGUACUACCAUUUGUUGCUGUUGAUGACACUGUUGUUCGUAAAAAAAAGGUCAAGUAACUUAAAAUAUUGUUAAAAAUGAGUGUUGACAAAUCUGAUGUUAAGCUAUUUGAUCAUAGUAGAUCGGAUGAUGAUGAAUCUGUUGAUAAAUCUAAUAGAUAUGAUGAUGAUGAUAAUAAUUUACGUGAUCGUAGAUCUGUUGAUAGGUUGUGGAAUAGUCUUCAUAAUGAGUUGUUGAGUAGGGUUCCUUUAGAAAUCCAAACUCUUAUUCUUGAUAAACUAGAUGAUACAAAAGAUUUUGUUAAUUUUGGUAAAGUUUGUCAUUUUUGGCGCAAAAUCUUUUAUGAUAAUCUUUCUAGUCGGUCUAUUCCACGACCUCCUAUGUUGAUUGUUACUCUAUAUGAUAAUACAAAAAACGAAACUCAAGAUGAAACUCAAGUAUAUUAUAAUCUUUAUAAGAAUACUAUGGGAAAGUUUCCUAUGCCCAUAAAACACUACUGGGAUGAUGGUGGGUAUUCAACAUCCAAGGGUUGGGCUAACUUCAGUGGCGGAUUUAGGAUCUUCUGCUAGGGGGGUCAAAAAUGUUAUACAUCUAGACAAAAAAAAAAUGUUAGAAAUUAAACACCUCUAGAAAACUAUCAUUUCAUGUAAAAUAGACUUUAAUUAAAAAUAAAUAAAUAUAAUCAAGAGUUGAUAUAAACAAGAAAAAAAAGUAAGUAAUUACUUCAAAAAUUUGUCUAUUUCAUUUCAGACGUCAUUUUAUAUAUAUAUAUAUAUAUAAUUCACAAUUUAUUGAUAAAGAAACCACACAAACAAUUUUGAACAACAUGCCAUGAGAUGAUACCGUCAGAUUAUGAGACCCCAACCAACUCGACCCAAUUAUAUGAGAGCAUGCCACCAUACAAAACUUGCACCUCUGCGCCUAAAACAUCAUGUUAAAGACCAAAAUUCAAAUAGAUGUGAUUGGAUGAACAAGAAAAAAGAGAUUGUUGAUUGAAUUUUUUUUUUUUUUUUUUUUUUUGAUAUAACUCAAAAUUAAUUUUUUUAGAAGGUUGGCGAGAAAUACACAUAAAAAAUUGUAAUUUUCUAUUAUGUACAUAAAUGUAAAGAUAUUUUAACAUUUUAUUUAUGUAAGAUCUUCUAGAUCUUUAUAAAAUCCUUAAAUUAUGGGAAUGAAAAACAAUUUAACAGAUAUUACUUUAUUAGAAGAUACAAUAUAGUAUCUUUGGUAAUAAAUAUAUUUAAAAAAAUUAAAAAAUUGAACAUAUAGGCCCUGCUUGGUUACCCCGCAAAAAUUUGCAUGAAAUUUAGCCUAAUUUAAUAUGCUUGAAACUCUUGAUAAUUAGUUUUAUGAACAAAAUUUAUGCAAAAGUUUGGUGCUAUUUCAAAAGUGCAAAAAUUUUACACCUUUCUCUAAUAAACUUAGUAGGGGACCAUUUAUGAUUAUCUCAUGUUUAUGCAAGGUUUAAGUGGGGGACCAAUAGGGUUUAAGCUAAAAUAGGUGGGGGUCCAUUCAAAUCAAAGAGUAAACUUGGGAGGGACCACUCUAACUAUAGAUGGGUAAAGAUUUGCCUUUUUUGCAGCCCAAACAAGCAGGGCCAUAUAGUAAAAAAAUUGCAAAACUUCAGGGGUGUCAAGUGAUACCCCAUGACCCCCCUUAGAUCCGCCACUGGCUAUCUUUAAUCUUACUGAUAAAACAGUUCUAAUGAACGCAUUUUUGUCUUGUGAACUCAAUAUCCCUGGACUUGGUGAUGACGAAUAUGAUCUUAAAAAAUCUUGUUUAUCUGUGUGUCCAUCCUCUUACCCAAACAGUUACAUACUAAUGGCAACAGUUCAAAAUAGAAAUGUUGGUUAUUACAAACGUACUGAUAAUGUUUGGAGGUUUCUCUUGGAUAAUCAGCAAUUUCGAAUUGAAGAUAUCAUUUAUUUUCGAGAUCUGUUUUAUGGGAUUACUAACAAAGGAGCUGUUUGGUCUUUUGAUGUGAAUGGUCAUGAUUCUACUGUUGUUCAAGUUGCUCCAGACAUUAUCCAUAUGAAUGAUAGUGGAAGACCGUAUUACGUUUUUAAUAACAUUUAUUACAUAGUUGAAUCCUGUGGAGAAUUAUUAGGUGUGAGGCGUAUUUGGGGUUGGUUACAGUAUUACCCAAAUUUUGAUGACAUUCCAGCGGAAACAGUUGGUUUUCAAGUAUUUAAGUGUGAUGAAAAGACAAGUAAGUGGGAUAAGAUGGAAAGCUUGAAUGGCCGAUGCUUGUUUAUUGGUGCCAAUACUUCUUUGUCUUUAUUGGCUUCGGAUAUCCCUAAUUGCGAGCCAGAUUGUAUCUACUUUACAUCAUUAUCAUAUUAUGUUCCGGAGCUUCCAAAUUAUGACAUGGGAUAUUACUCAGUGCCAGACAGGACCAUCGGACAAUUUUAUCAUUUGUGUUAUUAUUGAUCGAGCCACCAAAGUAAGUUAUAACUUUUCUUAGGUUUUUUAUCAUUUGUGUUGGGAUUAUUAUUGUUGAUUUGGUAAUAAUCGUAUGAGCAUAACAUUUUCAUGUAAUUUUGUUCUUUGCACAAUUUGGAUACAAAAUUUUCUGUAAAAUUUAUUGACAAAGUUGUGGAGGGAGGGAAAAUAAAAUUUAAAAUAAUAAUUAUGGAGAGAAAGUUUGGUGAGAAUUGUUUCUACUUUGUUUCAUCGCUUCAAAUCAUAUCUAUUCAGUAAAAGUAUAUUAUUUUCAUCUUCUGUUUCUGCAACCUGCAUUACCGGUCUGACGAUCUUUGCUUACUUAUAUGGUUAUUUGUGCAAUGGAAAGGAACAUGAUGUCAAUAUUUAUACUCUUACCCUCUAAAACUGAGAUGUUCAAUACAGCCAUGAUUUAUAUAUUUGUAAGUUCUCAAGCAAAAUAGACAAAAUGGCUUAGAUACUUGAUCCUAGAUGAAGCAGUAAUUUGGUUAGUUUUGUUUUUGUAUGUAAUCAUAUAUCUUGCAAUUAACUGAAUUUUAAUAACAACCCUUUUCGUUUUUCUCUCUACAGAGUUGAGUGAGUACACUAGUUCAUAAAUUAGUAGCUUAGGAUAGGAUUAAAAGUAAGAUGGUUCAUGGAUUUUGGUUAUCCUGGUAGGUUGGCCCGCCAUUAAGUCUCUUUCAAGCCAAAUUCAGAUGAGAAGUGCUAUUGAGCUACUUGUCCAAAGGGGUAGCUCUGUAAUGCAUCUCAAUAAGACAAAAAAACUGACUUGAUAACCAAUUUCACAGGUUUUUCUUUUCUCAAAAAUUUAAAUACGGUGAAGAUUGUUUUAUCAUUUCAUUUAUAUAGAGGAGCAAAGAAUCUUAAAAAUUAGGCUUUGUUUAUAUCUAAAGCAACUAAGAAUGUCAAGAUCAACCUUAUUUGGCACUAAUUUGGGAUGCUGGGUUACCUCAAGGUAGGGACAAGACUAUUCAAAUAAGAGCUAAAUUGUUGAAAGUAAAUAGAAGCGAAUUUUUGUAUAGGACAGAGGUUCGCUAAAGUUUGAGCUCUUAUUUUUAUUUUUAUAUAGAAAUUGAAAAACAAAAUCUUCUUGUUACUUGUAUGGUUCUUUGCUGUGAGAGUUGGAGCAUUUUAGAGAAGUAUGAAUUACUCCUUCAGAGUUCAAAAUUUUCACCUCUUUUAGUCUCGUUUUUUAUUUCCUCUGUUAAGGCUGGAAUUAUAGAUGAUCAACAAUUCAACAUGUUAGCCGAGACAACACAUGUGGGCCGAAAAGCCCCUGUUUGUGAUUAGACACAAAGCUAGCUCCCUGUUGUGAUCUUUAGAGUAUACACUAGUUUUUUUCUGCAAGAUUGAGUAGUCUUCACAAAUAACAAUAGAUCUUGUUUCUUAUUUUAUUUUGUGUCCGAAUUCUUAUUAGGAUUAGUAGAAGUUAAUUUGAGUCCAAAUGGUUUCCAACCCAUUAGCAUUCUAUUCAGAAUUUUUUUUCCUAAUUUAGUAAUGCUAUAUUGCCAUUUCAAUUGCAAUAAUUUCACAAUGUUAUUUAAAUUUUUGAACAUGUUAUUUGUGAGGAUUUUGUGUUGUUUUAUGUGUGUCAGUAAAAUACCUCAUUCUUCAAUGUAGUUUUGGGUUUUCUUUAAUAAUAGAGCAUAAUUAUUGUUUAUAUUUUGAGAGAAAAAGUGAUGUUCACUCUCCCCAUUAUUCUGUUGUUGCAGGGUUGAUCGAAAUGAAUAUCAGAUUGAAAUCCCCUUGCCACCAGAAAUUGACCCAAGCGUAACUAUGAUGACUGUAGAAGAGAAACAAGAUGUUACCUACAAUGAUGUUGGUGGUUGCAAAGAGCAGAUUGAGAAGAUGCGAGAGGUGACUAUGAAAACAUUUUUGCACUUUUUGCAGAGCUUUUUGAAUUUUUAUUGUUGGCUGGAUUUCUUGUGUGUGACAAUUUGGAACAUGUCAGAAGAUUAUCCAUUUCAUGUUAUUCAAUAAGACAAAAUACUAUGCUAAUGAUAGACUUAUACAGUCUCUUUCCUAUUAACUUUCAAUCUCUCAGGUUGUCGAGUUGGCCAUGCUUCAUCGAGAGAAAUUUGUGAAGCUCGGAAUUGAUCCUCCCAAGGGUGUUCUCUGUUAUGGCCCUCCUGGGACUGGUAAAACACUUCUGGCUAGAGCUGUUGCCAACAGAACUGAUGCCUGUUUCAUUCGUGUUAUUGGAAGUGAGCUUGUUCAGGAAUAUGUUGGUGAGGGAGCACGAAUGGUUCGGGAGGUUUUUAAGGUAAUGUAUAAUCAGUUUGUUUUAGCAAUAUUUUUUAGCUAGAUACAUGUUGUAACAUUCUGAAUUAUUGUUACGAAUAACUACUGUUUUAUUCUGACCCUCUGAUGUGAACAAUACAUACUUAACUCUCUAUUUGAAUGAUUGACCUUCUCAAGAUGGCGCGUUCAAAGAAGGCUUGCGUUGUCUUUUUCGAUGAAGUUGAUGCCAUUGGGGGUGUUCGCUUUGAUGAUGGUGUUGGUGGAGAUAACGAAGUUCAGCGUACAAUGCUUGAAAUUGUCAAUCAGCUUGAUGGGCUUGAUGCUUAUGAAAAUAUUAAAGUUCUGAUGGCAACAAACAGGUUAGACAUAAUUAUUUCUUUCUGUAUAUACACACGAGUGACUACAAUUUGGUCAUCUGCUGAUGCACAUACAUUUGUAUGUAUAACAGAAUAAGGUAGCACCUUUCUAACUUCUUUUGCUAUUACAAAUUUUCUAGGCGAAUGGCAUGCUCUAGAAUCACAAUACUCGAAUUCAAGGUUGUAAAGGGAUUGCUAUGUAAACUUGAUGUGUUCAGCUCAAUGGUUUUCUACGAUUUUUCUUGCUUGCCUUAUGAUUGCUAUGGUUGAUGGAGCUUGACGUGGGUACAUACUACAGUAUUAGAGAAAUUCAAACAAAUCUAAAGAAAUAAGAGUUCGGCACUAUUUGAUUUUACAUACUUUUGCCAAUUUACAAGACAAUUGAUGGAUGAUGAUUGAUGAGAUAUUGCAUUAAAUGCAUCUUAGCUAGUGUAACGUAGUUGGAAAGGAAUUGGCUCUAAUAAAUAUGGUAUAAAGUUGCAUGUCUGUAGGGGUAAUGAAGGACAAAUGUUUAUUCGAUACACCAGCUCUGAUCAAUAUGUUGCAAUAUUGUUAUAUUGAUGAACCACCUUUAUAAUUUUGCCUUGACUAGAAUUGAUGCUUUGGUUAUAUACUCCAGAUACACAAAUAUAAUAUAGAUGGACUGUAAUAAAUAUGGAGUAACUAUGCGUAGAAAUAUCAUUUCUCAACUGCAAUUUACUUUUCAUGUAAAUUCUCUUUUCAGGCCCGACACUCUCGACCCAGCUCUAUUACGUCCUGGACGGUUGGAUCAAAAUGUUGAAUUUGGGUUACCAGAUCUAGAGAGCAGAACACAGAUAUUUAAGAUACAUACGCGAACAAUGAACUGUGAGAGAGACAUUCGAUUUGAACUGCUCGCUCGUCUUUGCCCAAACUCCACAGGUUAGAAGAGCUUUGUCCUAUUUCUUUUCAGUAAUUUGUUGGCGGCAUGAUUUUUUUUUUCCCCCCACAUAUGCUAUCUAUGGAUCAUGACUUUUUGGUGUUGUAGGGUUUUAGUCUUGUGUAGAACUAGGUUCUUUUUGAAUAAAUCACAUGGCUUUUCAAAAUUUACUGCACUUGGUAAACCAAAAAAGCCUUGUUGGAAAAUCAGUUGAAAAUAUCAGGGAUAUUAUUGAAGGAUGCCAUUUAUAUAUUCACAUAUGUGGAUUGAAAAGCAUGAUUAUUAUGAUUCUAGGAUGAAAGUAUUAGACAAGAACAAGUCACUUGCCACAGAUGAGUGGGCAGAGUGCUUGAAAAUAGAGAGAGAUGAGAAUCACCACUUCUAUCUCUGUUAGAGCAAUAUAUAUGUGUGUAUACAAUUAGGAUGGAAAAACUUCCUCCAACUGAUGUCAUGGUUUGAAAACUGUUUUUAAGUAUAAUAGUCAGAUUAUAGAAUUUGGUAUAUGGUAUGGUAUAAAUGAUUUAUUAGUUAAUGGAGUACGGCUAGGGUGUUCUGCAAAUGUGUUGUUGUCAUCGUUAACAUAUUCUGGGAUGGGUUUAGUGUGAUUCCCUCAAUCACACUGUUGUAAAUAAAAUCCAUUGUUUUGCUGAUAAAAAAAAAAAAGAAAAAGCAUAUUCUGCUAGGGUUUUUCAUCAGGCAUUAGUGCUAACAGUUCAUGGUAUAAUCAGGAGCUGAUAUACGGAGUGUAUGCACUGAGGCUUGGAUGUAUGCUAUUCGAGCUCAGAGGAAGACAGUCACAGAGAAAGAUUUCCUUGAUGCAGUGAAUAAGGUCAUCAAGGGUUAUCAGAAAUUUAGUGCAACUCCGAAGUACAUGGUGUACAACUAGUUUGACCAUCAUCUCUGAAAGAAGAAACAGGCGAAUGGUUUGGUCUUUUGGUUGCUUGCCUGGCUAUGAUUGGGAAUCUCAAUCUUAUUUACUGCUACCAGCCUGGCUAAUUUUGUUGUAAUGUGUUAUUUGAGACUUGGAAUCAUUCAGUCAAACUGCAGUUGGCUUGUUUGGAGUUGACCUGACGGUCAUAUAUUCCUGGGUUUUAAAUUUGGUGCAAAAUAAUGCAAACCUGACUUCAAUUACUUUUUGCAUCUAUACAUUACAGUGAUGAAAUCUUAAUUAGCGGUUUGUCAAUUUGGCUUUGGUUUUCCAAGUCAUAAUACUGUAUAUAGUGUAAGAAAU
rnacentral:lncRNA from 1 species